UCCUGGACCCGCCGCCGCUCCCGCCGCCCCGCGGUGCAGCCCGCCGAGCGUCCCGCCCGCGCCGCCGCGCCCCGCGCCCGCCCCUCUCCCGACCCCGCGGCGCCCCCGGCGGCUGGGCCUCGGUGGGGGGCGGGGAGGGGGGAGGGGGCGGGGUCAGGGCCUGGGGGUCCCCACCCCUACGGCUGCCUGCCUCUCUCAGUCGCUGUCUCAGUGCUUUGGUGUCUCUGGCUAAUUGUCUCUAUCUCUGCGUCUCUGAGUCUCUAACUCUGUCUCGUCUGACUCUCCGAUCUGGAGAGUCUUUCUGGGCCUGGGUGUCUCUCUCUCUCUCCCCCGUCCCUCUAUCUCGACCUUUGCGUCUUUCUCUGUUCUCACCGCCUCUGUCUCUAUUUAUUGUCUCUGUGUCUCUCACCAUCUCUGUCUCGCACUCGGCCUCUUCCCUAGGGAGGCAUGCCAAGCGGCCCCGGGCUCCCUAGGGCGCGGGUUCGAGUCCCGACUCCCACUUCCUCGCCCGGUGACCUUGACCAGGCACUUCCUUUCUCUGAGCCGUUUCCUCCUUUGCGGGAGCAGAAAGACGCACCCAGGUCAGGGGCUGCCCUCGGCGGGCGCCCGGGCGCUGUCCCUCUGCCAGCCCUGUCCCCAUCCCUGCCUCCUCCAUGUGUCCCAGCCGAGGGUCUGAACUUCGCUGGGGGUGGGGGGCGGUGCGGAAGGGCACAGGGAAACAGCGAGUGUCUCUCUCUCCGCGGGAUCCCUGCACACUCAGCUCGAGCUUCUGGGCAAAGAGUUGGUGAGAGACCAAGGAAGAGAGACACAGAGAGAUAGCAAGAGACGCGGAGACACAAGACCAGAGUCGGGGCGGCCGCGGCCUGGGCCCGGGGGCGGCGGGGUGCUAGUCCGGCCACCCCUUCUCCCCCACCUCCCCCUCCCGCCCGGGCGGGGUUGGUGGGUGGGGAACAGGCCGGGCGGGUUGGGGGCAUGACUCAGAGGCGGGCUGGAGCUAGUGGGCGGGGAGGGGCAGAGGCGGGCCUUUUCCGGGUCCCCGCCCCUGCCUCCCUUCUCUCCGCCCCGGGGAGGGGCCCCAGCGGCGCGGGGCUUUCCCGGAUUUCCCUUGAGGCGGGGCUGUCGCUGGGGUUGAGUCCGGGUCACUGAGUUACGGGAGGCCAAGGGGGAGGCUUUGGGGAUCGGGGGCGGGGGGCAGAGGGAUGGCGGCUGCACCCCGGAUCCGUCCGGGAGGCACGCAGGUCCCCCUGGCUCUCUCGUGUCUCGCCCUGUCUCUGCAACUCUGUCCCUGCAUCCCUGGCCCUCGGCUCCCUGUCUCCGGCCCCACCCCCUGUCUCUUUUUGUCUCCCGAUCUCUGUCUGUGUCUCUGUCUCCCUGGCGGCGUCUCUCUGCGACCCUGAAAGUGGGUGUGGGUCCCCGUCCCCAGGAAGGGACUUUGCCCACGACUCUGGCCCCACCCCGGUGGAUCGUUAACCAGGGAUGUGGGGAGCAGCUGUGGAGAGAGAGAAGCCUCACCCCUUCCCCCUUCUCUCCUUUCUGCCUCUCUCUGGGUGGCCCCCAAGCCCCCUUAGCCCCUGUAAUGGGGAAACAUUUGGGGGCAAGGCCUGGGUCCAGUCCCACCUCCACCAUUUGCUCCCUGUGGGACCUCAGGCGAAUCCUCUUGUCUUGAGACUCGGUUUGGUCUUCUGGCAAAUGGGACUGAUGUCAACCCCCUGCCUCCUCGUGUCGGGGGAGCUUCGCCCAGGGCAGGAAACGAAGGAAUUAGGCUGGAGAGUCUGGGUGCUGCCGUUCCCAUCCAGACAGCCCUCCCUCACCUGGGGAGGAGCACAGCCCUGCUGUACAAAAGGGGAAGUUGAGCCUCCGAGGGGGCGGGUUUUGUCAAGGUGGUGACCCUAGGAGGUUGAAAUGGAAGGACACCCAAGUUCCUCCUCCUCUCAGCCUCCCUAGGGCAGAUAGAGCGAUGGCUUUGGGCCCAGACGGGCCUGGGGGGGGGUGGUGGUGAGGGGGGUUAUGCAUUUGGCCCAGAAGGGGGUUUGGAGGGGCUGAGAGAGAAAGAGUGCUGGGGGGGUCUGAGUCUGAGGAUGGAUGACGGGUAAAAGUCUGAGGGAGGAGGACCUAAAGGAGGAAGACAGGUCUGAGAGAAGUAAAUGGUCUAAGAGAGGGGGAGAAGGGAGAGAGAAUCGGUCUGAGGGAGGAGGUGAGGGUCUGAGGGAGAGGAUGAAUGUCUGAGGGAGGAGGUGAGGCUCUGAGGGAGGGGAAGAAGGUCUGAAGGAGGAGGCACUGUCUGAGGAAGUCUGAGAAGGACCAAGUGAGGAAAGCAGCUCAGAGGGAGGAGGAGAGAGCUGGCUGGCGCGGGGCGGGGGGUGGGGGGUGGGUUGUGAUGGAGGAAGAGGUUUGAGGGUGAGGACAUGAGGGUCUGAGGACAGAGAGCAUGGUCUGAGGGAGGAGGAGCAGUUUGAGGAGGGCCUCCUUGGGCCAGAGGGAAGAGAGGAGUGCUUGGGACCAAGCAGCGACUGAGGGAAGGGAAGAGAAGGGAGGCCUGGAGUCAGCCCCGCCCUGCAGCUGUCUAAUUUCCCAGAAUCUUCUACUGCUCAGGAAAGUCCCAGCUCCCACAGCCGCCUCCCUCCAGUGUCGGGAAUGGAGGAUGCGGAACCAGGACGGCUGCCCCCUCCUUUCCCCCCUGGCUCCCAGCACCCCAGGCUGGGAGGACUAGGGUCUCCCCUCUCUGCGCUUGAGCUCCGGAGGUCCCCUGCCGGCAGGGGGCAGCCCCUGGAUGAGUCCCAGAAAGUUCCCAGAGAGAGCCCGGAAGUCCUGCAUGGUGUCUAACCACUUUCCCUCACGCGGGCUGCCUUUUGUAUCUGUGCAGAUCUUUUCUUCCCUCCCACUACUCCUUCCCUUCUACCCCUACCCCCAGGGAAGGAAGGGCUGAGCCCAUCCAAGGUCCCGAGAAGGAAACAAAGGCCUAGCUGGAAGGCUGUGGGCCUUGGGGCACUUUCUUGCUCUUGGGGGCCUUCCAAGAGGGGAGGAUAGUGCUUGUUAGAGACUAGAUUCCCAUUGGCUUAAUUCCUGGGCCUUUUCCUGUCCCAAGUUUUGCUCCCAACUGAGGCCCGAGCUUCUGUUUUCAUCAGCUGUGUGGCUUCCAGGCCAUUACUGAACUUCGUGGAGCCUCAACUUCCCCACCUAUCAGACAGACUAAAUCGAGACCCUAAUGCUUCCGUCCUCUAGGGCCCGAUGGAUAGGAAGUGCUAAAGGCAGUGUGGCUGCAAUUAUUACGAUCCCUAUUAUAACCACAGGAACAACAGUGAUAAUUAUUCCUAUCCAGGAACCUAAAGUUUCAACAGCUGGGCCCAUUUCAUUGAGGAAAUUGGGACCCAACAUGCUGGGCCUGGGAGAUAUGGGUUCGAGGCCCGGUUCUGCCAUGUGUCAGCUGUGUGUGACUUUGGAUAGGUCGCUUUCCCUCUCUGUGCCUUUGUUGGUGACUUGACUGUUGGGGAUCAUAACAGCUCCUGCCUCACAGGGUUGCAGAGCAGCUUGAGACCACGUGUACAGCAUGAAUAACUGAAUGAAUGAAUGAAUGAAUGAACGGUGUCCCUUCUUGCCUCCAUAUUGCCUGCCUUAACUCAUCGGGCCAGGCCUUCCCUGUAACCCUCUCCGCCCCGAGAUAAAGCAAGAUGGGCCCAUUCGCCGUGGGCUGAACUCCCAUGAAGAAUUGGCCCACGCAAUCCUCUUGACGUCUCGUGAGGAAAUCCAGCUGAAACUCCCAUUUUAGAGAUGCAACAGAGGAGCGGAGUCCCUGCUCAGGGUCAUCAAGAUUUUGUGCCAGGUCUCGGUGUCCCCUGCACCCGGGCUGCUGGGGCAAUCGGUCCCCGAGACCACAGGCCUUCCCCCUCCUGUCUAACUCCAGACCCCUAUCCCCUAAGAAGGGAAUGGCUCAGGAGGGGAAAACUCAGGCACAAAGAGGCAAAGUCACGGCCAGAGAUUAGCAGGGCUACAGUCGGUCUGCAGGCUCCGGGCACAGGGAGGGUCGAGCUGAUGGAGGCAAGGUCGCGUCGCAGCAGGAAGGUCUAGAUUGAGAUUGAAGAGAGGGUUCCGGGAAAGGGAGCAGAUUGCACAGAGGAGAACAGACCUGAGCCUGGAGCUGGGGGGCCCUGCCCAAGGUCACGCAGCUUUGGGCUGGGAUUCCACCCUGGGUUUGCAGACUGCCCUGCUCCCUGAGGCUGCCCUUCCCCCCACCCCCCAGGAGUGAUUACAGGCCAGCUUCCUGCAGCAUGGCCUGUACCUCCGGGUUCCUCCCCACCCUGGGGCCUUGGCAGCUUCUGGAACCCCUGGCACCAAGCAGGAUCGGCCCUUCUGGGGCCUUGGCCAAGACUUGAUCUUCCCCUUUCUCCCUCUUGCCGGGUCUGCACGCACGACGCUGAGUCAGAGGAUUGCGACAUCCUCUCCUCGGGCUUUGAGACCAGACAUCCUCUGCCCCGUGCACUGCCUCUAUCGGGCCAAGAUAUGGGAGUGGCAGAGGCUGCCUGGACCUCUCAAGAAAAGACAUGCGGCGUGGCUGCCCCGCGUGCAGAUGGCUGGCUGAGAGCCUCCCACAGUUGGUUCCUUCAAGUUCUGCCUCAGCUUGCCAGUCGGGGACACUAGCUCCUGGCAGCGUCUGGCCAUUGACUGAGCCAGGCAAGGCACCUCCUUUCUGGAAGACCGGAUCCGUGCCGAUGGGCUUUGGAGUCAGACAACUGGAGCACGAGUGUUGUCUCUGCCUGGGUGGCUUCGGAGCGGCAUCUGAUCUCUCCGAGCCUCAGUUUCCCCCUCUGAGUCACGGGAACGGUAACGUGACGGCUGAGAGGCUCCAGUGAGUCAGCAACGAAGCCCUUAGCACACUUACCUGGCACCCAUACGUCACCCUCAUCCAUCGGGAGGGAGACAAAUCUGGGCCUAUUUUCUACUCUGCCGGUUUCUGGCCUCUGAGCCUGGUCUGUAAGGUGGGGAUGGACCCUGUCCUUCCCCGAGUAGGGCGCCCUGAGUCAGGUGCGGAAAGCCCCGGCCAAGCCUGGCACACCAGAAGCUCGAUAGCCGGGUGGUGUCAUUAGGGCCACUGCCUUGAGGGGCUGAGCCGGCCAAGUCAUCUGAGGAACAGGUGAGCAGGGAGCUGUAGGGCAGGCAUGUCUCACCCCCAUGGGGCCCUGGUCUUGGGCUGACCAACCAAGGGAAGUCCCAGGGCUGGGAAACCGUGGCGUCCUCCUGUAGGAGCUCCCUGAUUCUGGGAUACACCACAGAGGUGGGGAGGAGGGAGGAGGAAGCCCCCUGCCUUGCUCAUUCAGUGGGCAAGAAGGGAGGGAGAAUGUACGAGAAAAAAAAAAAAAAAAAGUCGGUCUCCCUCGUCAGACUAGAGCAGACCUCCUCCAUCAGACUGGGAGGUCCCUGGGGUGGGGAUAGGUUCCCCUUCAGUGUAGGAGUUCCUUGUGCUUUUGAGUUGCGUUCUCCCUCCUCCAUCAGAUCAGGAUCUCCCUCAGAAGGGGGCGUGUGUCACUUGUCCACGGAUUAGAUUAUCUCUAAGAGUGAGUGAUGCCUCCCCUAUCAGACUGGGAAUUUUCCCCGGGGGGGGGGGGGUGUCUGGGGCAUGCCUCUCUGGGGACUGGGAGGUCGCUCGAGAUGAGGCGACAUGUUCCCCUCGUCUGUCUAAGGACAUCGGUUCUCAAUUGAGGGGGGCAAUUUUGCCCCCUUCGGGGGACAUCCAGAUGAGUAUUAGACUAGAGCUUCCUGAAGAUGGUGGGCAUGCCUCCGCCAUCGUUCUAAAGUUCCCUGAGCGUGAGUCUGGGUCCUGCCUCCUCCAUCGGACUGUUGUGCUGAGUUGUGGAGCUUGAAUUGGCCGUUGUAUGGGGAGCCCUGUGAGGGUGAGAUUAAUCUUAUCCCCAGCAUUAAAUGGGAAGUUUGGAUUA